UACGUAGGGGGCGAGCGUUGUCCGGAUUUAUUGGGCGUAAAGAGCUCGUAGGCGGCUUAGCAAGUCGGGUGUGAAAACUCCAGGCUCAACCUGGAGACGCCACUCGAGACUGCUAUGGCUAGAGUCCGGUAGGGGACCACGGAAUUCCUGGUGUAGCGGUGAAAUGCGCAGAUAUCAGGAGGAACACCGAUGGCGAAGGCAGGUCUCUGGGCAUUAACUGACGCUGAGGAGCGAAAGCAUGGGGAGCGAACAGG
rnacentral:rRNA from 1 species